UUCAUAGAGUGUAAAGGCAUAAGGGAGCUUGACUGCGAGACCUACAAGUCGAGCAGGGUCGAAAGACGGACUUAGUGAUCCGGUGGUUCCGCAUGGAAGGGCCAUCGCUCAACGGAUAAAAGCUACCCCGGGGAUAACAGGCUUAUCUCCCCCAAGAGUUCACAUCGACGGGGAGGUUUGGCACCUCGAUGUCGGCUCAUCGCAUCCUGGGGCUGUAGUCGGUCCCAAGGGUUGGGCUGUUCGCCCAUUAAAGCGGUACGCGAGCUGGGUUCAGAACGUCGUGAGACAGUUCGGUCCCUAUCCGUCGUGGGCGUAGGAAAUUUGAGAGGAGCUGUCCUUAGUACGAGAGGACCGGGAUGGACAUACCUCUGGUGUACCAGUUGUCGUGCCAACGGCAUAGCUGGGUAGCUAUGUGUGGACGGGAUAAGUGCUGAAAGCAUCUAAGCAUGAAGCCCCCCUCAAGAUGAGAUUUCCCAACUUCGGUUAUAAGAUCCCUCAAAGAUGAUGAGGUUAAUAGGUUCGAGGUGGAAGCAUGGUGACAUGUGG
rnacentral:rRNA from 1 species